rnacentral:rRNA from 1 species
AGUGGCGCACGGGUGCGUAACGCGUAUGCAACCUACCCUUUACAGGGGGAUAGCCCGGAGAAAUUCGGAUUAAUACCCCAUAGUAUUAUUCUAUGGCAUCGUAAAAUAAUUAAAGAUUUAUUGGUAAAGGAUGGGCAUGCGUGACAUUAGCUAGUUGGUAAGGUAAUGGCUUACCAAGGCGACGAUGUCUAGGGGUUCUGAGAGGAUGAUCCCCCACACUGGCACUGAGAUACGGGCCAGACUCCUACGGGAGGCAGCAGUAGGGAAUAUUGGUCAAUGGGCGAGAGCCUGAACCAGCCAUGCCGCGUGCAGGAAGACGGCCUUCUGGGUUGUAAACUGCUUUUAUCAGGGAACAAAUAGCUCCUGCGGGAGAAGUUGAGUGUACCUGAAGAAUAAGCACCGGCUAACUCCGUGCCAGCAGCCGCGGUAAUACGGAGGGUGCCAGCGU